rnacentral:rRNA from 1 species
GACGAACGCUGGCGGCGUGCUUAACACAUGCAAGUCGAACGGUAAGGCCCUUCGGGGUACACGAGUGGCGAACGGGUGAGUAACACGUGGGUGAUCUGCCCUGCACUUCGGGAUAAGCCUGGGAAACUGGGUCUAAUACCGGAUAGGACCACUGCCUGCAUGGGUGGUGGUGGAAAGCUUUUGCGGUGUGGGAUGGGCCCGCGGCCUAUCAGCUUGUUGGUGGGGUGAUGGCCUACCAAGGCGACGACGGGUAGCCGGCCUGAGAGGGUGACCGGCCACACUGGGACUGAGAUACGGCCCAGACUCCUACGGGAGGCAGCAGUGGGGAAUAUUGCACAAUGGGCGCAAGCCUGAUGCAGCGACGCCGCGUGAGGGAUGACGGCCUUCGGGUUGUAAACCUCUUUCAGCACCGAUGAGGCGCAAGUGACGGUAGGUGCAGAAGAAGGACCGGCCAACUACGUGCCAGCCGCCGCAGUAA